UCCUCAUUAGCUCAGUCGGUAGAGCACCAGACUCAUAAUCACAAGGUCGUGGGUUCGAACCCUGUGCUGGGCCGAA